ACUAGAAUCCACACAGACCACACACGAGCCCAACUUUGGUUGGUCAAUCCAUGUGCAUCUAUGGGUAGGUUCAUAACCAGUUGUUUCUCUAAACAACUAGUAAUUUAUUUUGCCCCAGAACCUAAUCAGUAGGCUUUGGCCUCCACUGAAAAGAUCUGGUUAGGUCCAACCAUUAACAUGAUUUAAUUUGGUGAAUCUGACCAAUAAAUGAUCAGGCCUGACUUUGGCCGGCCAACCUGACCAUCAUC
rnacentral:lncRNA from 1 species